UCUCACUCUGACCCCUGGUGACAAGACGGAUAGUUCCAUUCAUCUAUGGACCAUUCCUUCAGAAGAUGAAUAAGUGUUUGCUGCCGGUGCUGUCCUUGCAUAGCUUGGGAAGCCCUUUGGAGAUGGGCAUGAAAGGUCCUCAUUGAAGAGACCCUGAUCUGUUUGAGUUCAAACUGUUGAAGAAAUGCCAGGCAUAAUGAUUACCUUCUUCAAUGAGGUGAAGUUUUACUCCUAUCUUUAGGUAGAUAAAGGAAACUGGAAAAGUUUGGUAUGAGAAAUGGAAGGACAGCGUUACAGAGUAGGAGCAGGAACGUAA
rnacentral:lncRNA from 1 species